rnacentral:rRNA from 1 species
GAUGAACGCUAGCUACAGGCUUAACACAUGCAAGUCGAGGGGUAACGAGAGGAAAGCUUGCUUUCCUUGUCGACGACCGGCGCACGGGUGAGUAACGCGUAUCCAACCUGCCCCCAACUAGGGAAUAACCUUGCGAAAGUAAGACUAAUACCCUAUAAUUUCCUCAGAUGUCAUCUGACGAGGAAUAAAGAUUUAUCGGUUGUGGAUGGGGAUGCGUCUGAUUAGAUUGUUGGCGGGGUAACGGCCCACCAAGGCAACGAUCAGUAGGGGUUUUGAGAGAAAGGUCCCCGACAUGGAGACAGAGACCCGGACCAAACCCCAACGGGAGACAGAGGUGAGGAAUAUUGUUCAAUGGGCUGAAGCUUAAACCAGCCAAGUAGCGUGCAGGAUGACGGCCCUAUGGGUUUUAAACUGCUUUUAUACAGGAAUAAAGUGAGCCACGUGUGUUUAUUUGUAGGUACUGUAUGAAUAAGGACCGGCUAAUUCCGAGCCAGCAGCCGCCGUAA